rnacentral:lncRNA from 1 species
CACAAAUACUUCCAAUACUUCCUUGUACUAUAACAAGAAAAGAAAUCGUCACAAGUGUUUUCUCUUUACUCGGUGUAAAUAAUGAAAAAUAUCAUAAAUUGUAUGUUCAGACUGAUAAUGUAUACUUUUUUCCAUCUCUCCACUAAUAACAACCAUUUAUACUUUCCAUUAACCCAUUUAGUUAGAUACAAUGAACAUUUAAACAAUUAGUGACUAUGAUGUAAGCUGAGACAGUGCAUGUCGACACCCCUAUUGUCUCAAACCGGACAAACUGGAUCAGGUUCACUUUGACUCCUAUAACAUCCCCAGCAAACACUUCGCUGACUUCACUCCAAACCAGCUGCUAAUUCCACCACUGUUAGGACUAGAUUUCACGACGUUUGUUGAUCUGUCCACCUGAAGGAAAGAUGAACUCCACGUGCAAGACUUUGAUCGUCUUCAGCAUCUUCAUCGCAGCAGCUUAUGGCCUGAAGUGUAAGCAGUGCGCCAUCGGGACGUUUGGGACAUGCUUUUUUGGAUCUGAAGUCACUUGUAACAACGCCACCCAGAGCUGCUACAAAGGAGACGCCCGUAAGGCAUUCUAUACUAAGAUUUAUCUUUUUCUUACUAAAUUAAGUACAUUUUUGUCAAAUAAUAUAUCUGUAAAUGCCUUAGCACCGGUUAGUCCUGAUGAUACAAGAGGGAAUUAGGAAUAGAUGUUUUUGUACAUCUUUUUAGGCAAUGAAGAAGAAACUUAAAACUCUGAAGGCCAUCAUCAUUUAAUCAAUAAAGUAAAAGUUGUGCUGAAUGACUGCUGAAUAGGUGGUAAAUCAUUGGCAGAUAAUGGGCAUCACUAUCAGUUCAAGUAAUUACAAUUUGUAAACUUAUAUGAUCAGAGUGGUCCGACUUCAGAUAAGAGAUGAAGACAACAAUGGAGAAGUGUCUGAUGAUAAAUUGAACUAGUGCAUCAAUGACGUGAACGUUUGCUAUUGGUCACAGCCUUCAAUAUACUAACAUUAUUUAGAAUUAUUAUUAGUUUAGAUUAUUAACUUCGCCG